AUCAGGCUGACGAGUCCUGAAUAGGACGAAACACUCGUCAUGGAU
rnacentral:hammerhead_ribozyme from 1 species